GUUCGACGAAAUCUGAAACUGAAAAACAUCUUUUUCGCAUAUCGUGGAGAUCGUUAAGUCAUUUGCAUCCAAGCGCCGAUUAAUUCACGCGCUACAACUGUCUUCUAUCAACAAGUGCGGAUUAUUACGCAAUCGGACGACUUUCUUCUAUCACCAAACGCGGAUUAUUACGCGCGCUACGACUGCUUUUUAUUUCAGUCGCUAAAUAUUCUUCAGAGAUCACGUUUGACCCGUUUGCCAGCAUCUCGCCUAUAUCAGUUUAUUAUUUUCUAAACAAGUCUUACUUUUGUUGUGAAAAUCUUGUUAACUUCCACUCUGAAUAGAUCGUUUUUACUUUUCUCCUCUGUUAUAAACAAUGUAAGACGCGAUAUUUGCGAAGUAACACUGUCUGCCAAUCGUUUUGAAUGGUAAAUACUCGAUAAAUUCCAUGAAGAAUUCGGAUGUCAUUUACUGUACCUACGACCGAACGCCGCUGAUGCCUUCAAUUGCCCUGUUAACCAAAUCUCAACGUGAUCGUCGCGAAGAAAUGGGACUCCACGAAUUCCGAUAGUUUCUAUGAUUAAUAUUUAUAUAAGUAAUAAAUUUUGUAUCGGCUUGUAUAAAUUCCACUAUCAUAAAAGUGCAGACGAAAGUAUUGUUGAAGCAGAUAAAAGAUGAUAUCUCGUAUGGAAAUUCGACAAAAAAAUUUAUGUGACAGCAUUAGUAAAAAAUCGCAAUAUAUCGCGCGCAAUAUGCUGCUAAAAGAUUCUUUCAGGAAGUAUUUAAAUAUUCUAGUGAGUCAUCGGUAUACGCAACCAAGUUACCGAAAUACACGUUCUCAAAAACGUAGCCUUGUGUGGGCAAAUUUUAUUUUGCCAAAUUAUUCGAGACUAAAAUCCGUAGGAAAUUAACAGUAAAAGGUAGAAAUUUAUGCUUCGAAAACGAAGCAGUUUUCGAACUCUUUUUAAACGGCUCGCGUUCAUCUUCUGUUCUUUCAGCUCAGCCUGGAUCGCUCUAAAAUCGUGUCGCGUCCCUGAAAAGAUUCGUUCGACUGGACGACGGUCAGUUCUCGGAGCCGAAAUUGCACAACGCGAUGGCUGUCGAAAAGGAGAAAGAAAGGCGGUAAAAGGCGUGAAGCAAACGAAAGAAAGAGACACGUUUAUCGGAUCGGGCGAACGUUCGAGGACGUUGAGACGCGGCCGUCGACAAAAUCGAAGAAAACGCGCGGGAACGAAAGUCCGAUUGAACUUUCUUCGGUUGGCUGGACCAGCCGGAGUUAAGUGAGAGUGAGUUUGUUACACACGUUACGUCACUCACGAAUCACGAAACGAAAGACCGCGUCGAUUGUGUACGAAGGAUUGCCUCGGCUAUCGUCACGACCUUUCUACGCAGGUUCUUUCGAACGAUUCCCCUAAAUUGUUUAUUAAUCCAUUUGCAGCUACUUAUUUGACUGUACUUAAGAGCGACGCUUGGUUCGUUUUCUUCUUCUUUUCUGCGCAACCAAAAUUCUGUUUGACAAUACAGCGUAACACGGUUUGCGAAAUUGGCCAAUUCUGCCUGAUCAUCGUAUUUUCACCUGGAAGAUUUGCCGGAUACGCUUGGCCAGAAAUUACAAGAAGCUACGACGGAGAAACUCGAUCACCGUGAAAUUCAUUCAGACCGACCUCGAUAAAGUUACCUGGUAUUAACAAAUAUGACGCAACUUUGUUCCAUUUAAACGUAUGAUAUUUCGUCGAUGAAAAAACAGUUGCACGAAAUGAAAGAUUACGUAUAAAAUCAUUCGCGAGAGAGUUUCCGUCUACGCAAAAGGGCCACUACUUUUAUCAAACUAUAUCGUAUCUUCUAUCGUAUUUGGUUGUUAGCUUAUAGUCUUCCCUAUGCCAAGAAUUUAGAAAUUUUCGAAUGCUCACUCUUCCAAUAAAAUAACGAGCUGAGUGUCUUUCUCUUUGUCCUACGAUAUAUUAUUUCUUCUGUUACAAUACGUUCGAUUCAUCGACCGAGAAAUCAAUUGAUUACUUGAUAUUCAGUUUCUGUGAUCUGUCGAGUCGUCAAAGCUAGCCAGCGGUUGUUCUAUGAAAAUAUUUCGACAUAGUAUCGUGAUAAACACGUAGUACAAUGGUUUCUGCAAGUCUCACUUCGUUAAGCUAUAAAUUAUAUCGAUACUUGAUUAGAAUUUUUAAAAGCAUAAACCUGCGAAGUAGAUAGAUCGUGUCGAUUAACGUUCGACACGUGGCCGUGUCUUUCUUUUUUGUGAAAUCGUACAUUUCUCUUUCAGCGAAAUAUUCUAUAUGCAUAGCUUCUGAAAUACGCUUACAUGUGAGCUAUAGUUUUUGUAACUUAUGCAAUAAUGCGUUGCGCAAUAGUAUUUAUAAUUAGGAUUUUACCCUUCUUAUAUUCGUUCACGGUUGAGAAGCUUUCUUCGUGUAAAGAGAGUUGGAAAAUCAUGAAAUACAAGACCGACGAUUAAUCAUUCAACAAAAGCUUGAGGAAGUAACUUUUCAUAUUUCAUGGCGAACGAACAACGAACAUGUUGGCUAUAUGUUGCGAACAUGUAAACAACCGGACGUGGGAAAAGAGACAAGCGUCAAGCAGAUUGGUAAAUAUCCUCGAGUUCAUAGUAGACGCGCAAGUUCAUUGAAGAAGAGCUGUCCACGCGAAGGUCCAACGAAAUGGAAAGUGAUUAGACGUAACUUUAAAUAAGCGCAUCUUCCUCAAUAUGUUGUCGGUAGAGAAACAGAGAUAUCUGAAGAAAUACUCAUUGUGGAAGACAGUGAAAUAUUUUAAUGCGACGAAUAUGUGGAAAAUUUUGAGACAAUCAAAGAAUUCCAUUCUUUGGCUCUUUUAUUCUAGUCCUGCGAUAGAAUUAAUGUUACUGUUAGUAGAAUAAAUUCUGGAUUUCUUAGCAAGAGGUAAUUGUCAAAUUAUGAAUAAAUAAUUAUUAGGAAGAAUGAACAAUUUCUUACUUUUUCGUUUAGCAUGUAUUUGCUAUUACAUUAUACUUGGUACGAUAUGUGUUUGUCAAGUAUGAUUAAAAGAACGAGUGGAAUACGAUCAAUGGAAUUAUAAUUGAAAUUUCGUUCGGAUUGUAAUCUUCUUCUGGUCUAUUUCUAGACAAAAAUGGUUAAUUCGCAUAAUUAAAUAUCAUUCGACAGUGAAAACGACCUUCACGCAGAACGUGCGUGCGUAAACGAUCUUAAGUUUUCCAAGAACUGGAUCGACCGACGCAAAAAUUACGAUGAAGUUAAAUACGUGAGUGUAAUAACGUAUAAUUACAGAUAAAUUGCAUUUUAAUGCUAAUUUGAAAUAAUGAAAAUGAAGUCAUUUCGCCUAGUGACGAAGUAAUUGUUAAGAUAAUUUCAAUUUAUUAAAACUCGUAAGAUAAAUAGAAAAGCAUUGAGUUUUACUAUUUUGUGUAUGCAAUAAAAUGUUCGAACA